ACAGGGAUUGCCCUAGUAACGGCGAGUGAAGCGGCAACAGCUCAAAUUUGAAAUCUGGCGUCUUUGGCGUCCGAGUUGUAAUUUGCAGAGGGCGCUUUGGCAUUGGCAGCGGUCCAAGUUCCUUGGAACAGGACGUCACAGAGGGUGAGAAUCCCGUACGUGGUCGCUAGCCUUUACCGUGUAAAGCCCCUUCGACGAGUCGAGUUGUUUGGGAAUGCAGCUCUAAAUGGGAGGUAAAUUUCUUCUAAAGCUAAAUACUGGCCAGAGACCGAUAGCGCACAAGUAGAGUGAUCGAAAGAUGAAAAGCACUUUGGAAAGAGAGUUAAAAAGCACGUGAAAUUGUUGAAAGGGAAGCGCUUGCAGCCAGACUUGCCUGUAGUUGCUCAUCCGGGUUUCUACCCGGUGCACUCUUCUACGGGCAGGCCAGCAUCAGUUUGGGCGGUUGGAUAAAGGUCUCUGUCAUGUACCUCCUCUCGGGGAGAUCUUAUAGGGGAGACGACAUGCAACCAGCCUGGACUGAGGUCCGCGCAUCUGCUAGGAUGCUGGCGUAAUGGCUGUAAGCGGCCCGUCUUGAAACACGGACCAAGGAGUCUAACAUCUAUGCGAGUGUUUGGGUGUCAAGCCCGAGCGCGUAAUGAAAGUGAACGGAGGUGGGAACCUUUCGGGGUGCACCAUCGACCGAUCCUGAUGUCUUCGGAUGGAUUUGAGUAAGAGCAUAGCUGUUGGGACCCGAAAGAUGGUGAACUAUGCUUGAAUAGGGUGAAGCCAGAGGAAACUCUGGUGGAGGCUCGCAGCGGUUCUGACGUGCAAAUCGAUCGUCAAAUUUGGGCAUAGGGGCGAAAGACUAAUCGAACUAUCUAGUAGCUGGUUCCUGCCGAAGUUUCCCUCAGGAUAGCAGUAACGUUUUCAGUUUUAUGAGGUAAAGCGAAUGAUUAGAGGCCUGGGGGUUGAAACAACCUU
rnacentral:rRNA from 1 species